UUACGGCCAUAUAACAUUGAAGUACCGGUUCUUGUACGAAGUUAAGCAAUGUCGAGCCUGGUCAGUACCUAGCUGGGUGACCGCUUGGGAAGACCAGGUGA